rnacentral:rRNA from 1 species
AUUGAACGCUGGCGGCAUGCUUUACACAUGCAAGUCGAACGGCAGCACGGGGGCAACCCUGGUGGCGAGUGGCGAACGGGUGAGUAAUGUAUCGGAACGUACCCGACAAUGGGGGACAGCUCGGCGAAAGCCGGAUUAAUACCGCAUAUGCCCUGAGGGGGAAAGCAGGGGAUCGAAAGACCUUGCGUUGUCGGAGCGGCCGAUAUCAGAUUAGCUAGUUGGUGGGGUAAAGGCCUACCAAGGCGACGAUCUGUAGCUGGUCUGAGAGGACGACCAGCCACACUGGGACUGAGACACGGCCCAGACUCCUACGGGAGGCAGCAGUGGGGAAUUUUGGACAAUGGGGGCAACCCUGAUCCAGCCAUGCCGCGUGAGUGAAGAAGGCCUUCGGGUUGUAAAGCUCUUUCGGACGGAAAGAAAUCGCACUUGAUAAUACCUUGUGUGGAUGACGGUACCGUAAGAAGAAGCACCGGCUAACUACGUGCCAGCAGCCGCCGUAA